rnacentral:rRNA from 1 species
UACGUAGGGGGCAAGCGUUGUCCGGAUUUAUUGGGCGUAAAGAGCGUGUAGGCGGCUUGGUAGGUCCGCUGUGAAAACUCGAGGCUCAACCUCGAGAUGUCGGCGGAAACCACUUGGCUAGAGUCCGGAAGAGGAGAGUGGAAUUCCUGGUGUAGCGGUGAAAUGCGCAGAUAUCAGGAGGAACACCUAUUGCGAAGGCAGCUCGCUGGGACGUAACUGACGCUGAGACGCGAAAGCGUGGGGAGCAAACAGG